rnacentral:rRNA from 1 species
ACGAACGCUGGCGGCGUGCUUAACACAUGCAAGUCGAACGGAAAGGCCCUGCUUUUGUGGGGUGCUCGAGUGGCGAACGGGUGAGUAACACGUGAGUAACCUGCCCUUGACUUUGGGAUAACUUCAGGAAACUGGGGCUAAUACCGGAUAGGAGCUCCUUCUGCAUGGUGGGGGUUGGAAAGUUUCGGCGGUUGGGGAUGGACUCGCGGCUUAUCAGCUUGUUGGUGGGGUAGUGGCUUACCAAGGCUUUGACGGGUAGCCGGCCUGAGAGGGUGACCGGCCACAUUGGGACUGAGAUACGGCCCAGACUCCCACGGGAGGCAGCAGUGGGGAAUAUUGCACAAUGGGCGGAAGCCUGAUGCAGCAACGCCGCGUGCGGGAUGACGGCCUUCGGGUUGUAAACCGCUUUCGCCUGUGACGAAGCGUGAGUGACGGUAAUGGGUAAAGAAGCACCGGCUAACUACGUG